UUCCCACAGUACAAGGCCCCACAUUUCUGUGCUAUUUCUAUUUCAUUUAAGUUUUUCUAUGAACCUUUCAAUUCUCUCUAAAAUCACCCCCUUCAAAUCAGUGAUUCCUUGUCAAAUCUAGCCAAAGGAAAGCAACAGCAAUGCUAAGGUUCUAUUUUUUGACUUCUUUCCUGAGAGUUUCUGGCUCAGAACCCAAAAAGAGAGUUGGAUGGAAUCUCAGCCAUUUCUUAGGCAAAGUGGGCCCUUUGCCAUCAGCAUCAUAAUUUUGCUGACCAUGUAUGACUUCUAGUAAAUUCAAGGUCUUGUGCAUCCCAUUAGACAGUGUGUAAGGGAGAGCAGGGAAGUCCAAAAAGCUAGGAUUUCAGGGUGUACCUAAAAGGUCAACUAACCAGAAAAACAGGAAGAAAGCAGAUUAAAUGAGGAUAACCCACUUCAUUAUUAGAGAAUUAGGGAGAAUGAAUCCCGGAUCCC
rnacentral:lncRNA from 1 species